rnacentral:rRNA from 1 species
ACGGGUGAGUAAUAUAUCGGAACGUGCCCAAUCGUGGGGGAUAACGUAGAGAAAUUUACGCUAAUACCGCAUACGAUCUAAGGAUGAAAGCGGGGGAUCGCAAGACCUCGCGCGAUUGGAGCGGCUGAUAUCAGAUUAGCUUGUUGGUGAGGUAAAAGCUCACCAAGGCGACCAUCUGUAGCUGGUUUGAGAGAACGACCAGCCACACUGGGACUGGACACGGCCCAGACUCCUACGGGAGGCAGCAGUGGGGAAUUUUGGACAAUGGGCGAAAGCCUGAUCCAGCAAUGCCGCGUGCAGGAAGAAGGCCUUCGGGUUGUAAACUGCUUUUGUACGGAACGAAACGGUCUGCCCUAAUACGGCGGGCUAAUGACGGUACCGUAAGAAUAAGCACCGGCUAACUACGUGCCAGCAGCCGCGGUAAUACGUAGGGUGCGAGCGUUAAUCGGAAUUACUGGGCGUAAAGCGUGCGCAACCGGUUUAUGUUAGACAGUUGUGAAAUCCCCGGGCUCAACCUGGGAAUUGCAUCUGUGACUGCAUAGCUAGAGUACGGUAGAGGGGGAUGGAAUUCCGCGUGUAGCAGUGAAAUG